rnacentral:lncRNA from 1 species
GAAUGUUAAAGUUCUUUCUAAGUAUACAUGUCAACAUGUUACCAAAUGACUCGCUUCUCGUCACACAACAUCAGUACUUGGCUAAUCUACUUCAUGGGGCAAAUUUGGAAAAUCUGAAACCUACACCAACGCCAAUGGAACCUCGAGGAUCUCUCUAGGAUCAAUCACCGGAACUAGAUACAACAGAUUGUACAAAGUUUAGACAGA